UACGUAGGGUGCGAGCGUUGUCCGGAAUUAUUGGGCGUAAAGAGCUCGUAGGCGGUUUGUCGCGUCUGCCGUGAAAGUCCGGGGCUCAACUCCGGAUCUGCGGUGGGUACGGGCAGACUAGAGUGCGGUAGGGGAGAUUGGAAUUCCUGGUGUAGCGGUGGAAUGCACAGAUAUCAGGAGGAACACCAAUGGCGAAGGCAGAUCUCUGGGCCGUAACUGACGCUGAGGAGCGAAAGCAUGGGGAGCGAACAGG
rnacentral:rRNA from 1 species